rnacentral:rRNA from 1 species
CCCUUAGAUGUUCUGGGCCGCACGCGCGCUACACUGACGAUGGCAACGAGUUUUUCCUUCGCCGAAAGGUGUGGGUAAUCUUUUGAAACAUCGUCGUGCUGGGGAUAGAUCAUUGCAAUUUUUGAUCUUGAACGAGGAAUUCCUAGUAAGCGCGAGUCAUCAGCUCGCGUUGAUUACGUCCCUGCCCUUUGUACACACCGCCCGUCGCUACUACCGAUUGAAUGGUUUAGUGAGGACUCCUGAUUGGCGCCGCCGCCCCGGCAACGGAGCAGCGGACUGCCGAAAAGUUGUUCAAACUUGAUCAUUUAGAGGAAAUAAAAGUCGUAACA